rnacentral:ncRNA from 1 species
GGCCCAGUGCGGUACGCAACCAGCUCGAGACGCCGAUGCGAGCCCGGGAAGAGUUUCUUUCUCUGUAAGGAGAUCGAGUCCCUGGAAUGGGUUCGCCCCGAGAUAGGGAUGGUGGCUCCGUAGAGCAGUGCGGUUCUUGCGCUGUCCGGUGCGCUCGCGUCGGCCCUUGAAAAUCCGAGUGAGGGAGUGUGAUUUUCGUGCCGGACCGUACCCACAUCCGCAGCAGGUCUCCAAGGUGAACAGCCUCUAGUCGAUGGACCAAUGUAGGUAAGGGAAGUCGGCAAAACGGAUCCGUAACCUUGGGAUAAGGAUUGGCUCUGAGGACUGAGCCGGUCGGGCUGGGGACCUGAAGCAGGAACGGCACUGCACCGGGACUGGGCGGGGCUCGCCGUUCACGCGGCGCGGCCAAGCCCGGACCAGCGUCGGGACCUUCCUGUGGAAAGCCUCAGCUGCGCGGCGUCUGAGGGCUUCGUGCCCAAAGUGCUAUGCUUCGGCCGGCAAAAAACAGUCAACUCAGAACUGGCACGGACCGGGGGAAUCCGACUGUCUAAUUAAAACAAAGCAUUGCGAUGGCCGCUGGUCGGUGUUGACGCAAUGUGAUUUCUGCCCAGUGCUCUGAAUGUCAACGUGAAGAGAUUCAUCAAAGCGCGGGUAAACGGCGGGAGUAACUAUGACUCUCUUGUUCCAAAGGAAGGCACUCCUUUGGUUCGUGAUGAGAUGUUCAUGGUGCUUGCCUAGCUGGAGAAAUCCGACUCACACCUGCACGU